UCUGACCUUUUGUAUGUUUGUGUGUGAGCAUGACGGGAUCCCUGUCAUUGUAAAAAGUCUUGCUCCUCUCUUUGGUCCAUUCCCGGUGUCUCUCAUUAUCACUAACACACUCAGAGAGAGAGAGAGAGAGAGAGAGAGUCUGAGCUGGAAGAGACAAAGAGUCUGAAGCGUGAAACUGAAGCCCUCAUCUUAAUUUCCUGUUUCACUGUAAAGUUGGGUUUGGUCAGUGUAACUGUAACAUGAAUAAUAAUUGGCUUCCAGCUGGUUGGAAUUUUGAGAGUGAUCUUCCUGUGACCAAUCAGAAGAAAUCCUUGGGGCAAGACAAUGACAUAGUAGAGCUGUUAUGGAGAAAUGGUCAGGUAGUUUUGCACGGUCAAACGCGAAAACCAAGUUUCAAUCAUAAUGAUUCAAGACAAGUAGUUCAGAAACCAAAGCUAAGAGGUAGUGGCUCAUAUGGGAACUCAAGCAAUUUAAUUCAAAAUGAUGAUGAUGGUGAUGAGACUGUGUCGUGGGUACAAUAUCCUCUCGAAGUUGAUCCCUUUGAAAAAGAGUUCUGUUACAACCUUUUUUCUGAAUUGCCACCAUCUGAUCCUAAAGAAAUUGAACAAGACAAGCUUCUUAAUAAGUUUGGUGCUUCUGACACUGAUGUUGAUGCUACUCAUGUCAUUGCAAACUCACAUCAACCAACUAGUAUUAGUAUUAGUAAUUCUGUUGUACCUGAAUUCCCUGGCAACUUGGGCCAUCAUCCUCCUAGAUUUCCUUUUCCUGAAUCAGCAGCCCAGAAAAAUCAUGAUUUAGGAGGGUCAGGAAAAGUCUUGAAUUUUAUAGGAUCUUCAAAUGGGCAACACGGAGGGGAAGGAUCAGGUCAAUUGAUGCAAGGAGAGGUUAAAGAGUGUUCAGUAAUGACGAUUGGAUCCAGCCACUGUGGCAGCAAUCAAGUACCAAAUGACCCUGAUUUUAGCAAUGGUGUUGGGACUUCUGCUUUAUUUGCUGGACCUGUAAAACAAGAUGUUCACAAGAUAACGCCUCAGAGUGAAAGACGAAAAAUGGACACACUUGAGCCUACUGCUGCUUCUUCGUCUGGUGGCUCAGGUAGUAGUUUUGGAAGAAGAUGCACACAAUCUACUGGUGUCAAUAGCAUGAAGAGAAAGGUCAGGGAUGCUGAGGAAUUAGAGUGCCAAAGUGAGGCCGCUGAACUUGAAUCAGCGGCUGGAAACAAGCCAGCGCAACGAUCAGCAUCUUCCCGCAGGAGCCGCUCUGCUGAAGUUCAUAACCUUUCAGAAAGGAGACGGAGAGAUCGGAUCAAUGAGAAAAUGAAGGCAUUGCAAGAGCUCAUACCACACUGUAACAAGACUGAUAAAGCAUCAAUGCUAGAUGAGGCAAUUGAAUACUUGAAGUCACUUCAGUUACAACUUCAGGUAAUGUGGAUGGGAAGCGGGAUGGCUCCAAUGAUGUUUCCAGGCGUCCAGCGCUAUAUCUCUUUAAUGGGUAUGGGAAUUGGUCCUCCUCCUAUGCCUUCUAGUCACAAUCCAAUGCAUUUACAAAGGGUCCCGCCAGUUGAUCAAUCCAUGUCCAUGGCUCCAUCGACAAGCCAUGCUCUAAUGUGCCAAACUCCAGUUUUGAAUAAUGUUAAUUAUCAAAAUCAGAUGCAUAAUCCUUCUUUUUCUGAGAAAUAUGCACGUUAUAUGGGAUUCCAUCAUAUGCAAACUGCGUCUCAGUGCAGCCCUUGCAUAUGUUGAGAUUUAGUUCCCCAACAAUUCAACAGGGUCAAACAACGGUACCGCCUGGGACUAGCAGUGGACACUUAAAUGGAGGAGCUGCAAUUAAUGAUACUGCAAGUGGCAUGAAUGAUGGUUAAUCAGACGCAUAUUUUAUAUGGUCCCCCACCACUAAAAUUAACCCGACCAAUGUUGUUGGAUGGAGAAAAGGGAUCACUCAAUUCAGCAAAAAAAGAAAAAGGGAUCACUAUUCCUGGUGGAUAUUUGAAACAAUUAUAGCUCGCAUAGCACUCAUGCGACUUGGCCUGCCCAAUGAAAGAGAUAGAUGAAGAGUCACUUCGUACUUGCAUAUGUCGAUCAUAAACUAUUAGAAGAGUUGAUAUGUAUCAAUCAGCCAUUGAACUUGAUGUGUAAGUUUGACGAGCAGAGCAGAUGCACUAGUUUCUGUAGAGUCCUAUUUUUUGUUGCCUUCUGCUUGGAAUUCUUUCAACUCUGUCAAAUAAAAAAUAGAUGCUGUUUUGAAAUAUGUACAACUAGCAGCAUUUUUCUUACUUUUUUUAGUAAGGGAAUACAAAUCCUCUUAUUUCA